rnacentral:hammerhead_ribozyme from 1 species
AUUCGGCUGACGAGUUCCAAAUAGGAUGAAACGUGCGUCCUGGAU